GCCAGUGACCAUUUGGCACCAGGCAGCCUCUACAAGCUUCCUUCUGUGGGCCUAGCACAUAGGAGCACAUGUGUAUUGGCCCUUGUUAUUUCAAAAUAUUGCAGGCCUGGGUGGAUUCAUGGGCUAAAUCACUACCGAUUAUCCUUCAAGUUCCACCUUCAAGACUGACUGUAGGUUUCAUUUCCAAGAGCAGAGGUGACCCUUCCACACGGCGAGGAGAGGCGAUUGCCUCAGGUGGCAGAUUAUUGAGGCAUGGACUGUGAACUCCGAACAUCAAGCAACACAGGAACAAAAUAUGUUGGAACCUUAUAUGUGACUUAAGAAGGCACCCAUUCAAGGUGUGUGCAUGGAAAGGGCUCUUAUAUCAGAAAGAUAGAAGCCCCAUU